UGGUGCAAUUAUGCCAGGAUUAAUGCACCGGAUCCCAUCAAAAUUCCGCAAUUAAGCAUGCUUGGGCGAGAGUAGUACUAGGAUGGGUGACCUCCUUGGAAGCGCUUGUAUUGAACCCU
rnacentral:rRNA from 1 species